rnacentral:rRNA from 1 species
CGGAGAUUGUAGCAAUACGGUCUCAGUGGCGAACGGGUGAGUAACGCGUUGGUGACCUGCCCCGAAGUGUGGAAUAACAGAUCGAAAGAGCUGCUAAUACCGCAUAAUAUCCAGGAGAUCAGAUGCUUCUGGAUUAAAGGAUUUAUCCGCUUCGGGAGGGGCCUGCGUCCCAUCAGCUAGUUGGUAAGGUAAAGGCUUACCAAGGCGAUGACGGGUAGGGGACCUGAGAGGGUGGCCCCCCACAAUGGAACUGAAACACGGUCCAUACACCUACGGGUGGCAGCAGUAGGGAAUAUUAGUAAUGGGCGAAAGCCUGAACUAGCAACGCCGCGUGUGCGAAGAAGGCCUUCGGGUUGUAAAGCACUUUUUGAGAGGAUGAGGAAGGACGGUACCCUCAGAAUAAGUCUCGGCUAACUACGUGCCAGCAGCCGCGGUAACACGUAGGAGGCGAACGUUAUCCGGAUUUACUGGGCGUAAAGCGCGUGUAGGUGGUUUGGUAAGUAGGGCGUGAAAGCUCCUGGCUCAACUGGGAGAGGCCGUUCUAAACUGCCGAACUAGAGGAUGGUAGAGGGAGGUGGAAUUCCGGGUGUAGCGGUGGAAUGCGCAGAUAUCCGGAGGAACACCAGUGGCGAAAGCGGCCUCCUGGACCAUUCCUGACAC